AACGGGAUUAGAUAGCCCUGGUAGUUCACGCCCUAAACGAUGUCAACUAGUUGUUGGGGAUUCAUUUCCUUAGUAAUGUAGCUAACGCGUGAAGUUGACCGCCUGGGGAGUACGGUCGCAAGAUUAAAACUCAAAGGAAUUGACGGGGACCCGCACAAGCGGUGGAUGAUGUGGAUUAAUUUGAUGCAACGCGAAAAACCUUACCUACCCUUGACAUGGUCGGAAUCCUGAAGAGAUUCGGGAGUGCUCGAAAGAGAACCGGCGCACAGGUGCUGCAUGGCUGUCGUCAGCUCGUGUCGUGAGAUGUUGGGUUAAGUCCCGCAACGAGCGCAACCCUUGUCCUUAGUUGCUACGCAAGAGCACUCUAAGGAGACUGCCGGUGACAAACCGGAGGAAGGUGGGGAUGACGUCAAGUCCUCAUGGCCCUUAUGGGUAGGGCUUCACACGUCAUACAAUGGUCGGAACAGAGGGUUGCCAAUCCGCGAGGGGGAGCUAAUUCCAGAAAACCGAUCGUAGUCCGGAUUGCACUCUGCAACUCGAGUGCAUGAAGCAGGAAUCGCUAGUAAUCGUGGAUCAGCAUGCCGCGGUGAAUACGUUCCCGCGUCUCGUGCUCCGAUGUCUUCACCCCACGGGAGCCGCUCGCCCAGAAGU
rnacentral:rRNA from 1 species